rnacentral:rRNA from 1 species
AUUGAACGCUGGCGGCAGGCCUAACACAUGCAAGUCGAGCGCGAAAGGCCUUCGGGCUGCGUAGAGCGGCGGACGGGUGAGUAACGCGUAGGAAUCUACCUGGUAGUGGGGGACAACAUGGUGAAAACCAUGCUAAUACCGCAUACGCCCUAUGGGGGAAAGCGGGGGACCUUCGGGCCUCGCGCUAUCAGAUGAGCCUGCGUAGGGUUAGCUUGUUGGUGAGGUAAAGGCUCACCAAGGCGACGAUCCUUAGCUGGUCUGAGAGGAUGAUCGGCCACAGUGGAACUGAGACACGGUGCAGACUCCUACGGGAGGCAGCAGUGGGGAAUAUUGCGCAAUGGGCGAAAGCCUGACGCAGCCAUGCCGCGUGUGUGAAGAAGGCCUUCGGGUUGUAAAGCACUUUCAAUUGGGAAGGAAGGUUGCGUGUUAAUAGCACGUAGCUGUGACGUUACCUUUAGAAGAAGCACCGGCUAACUCCGUGCCAGCCGCCGCGGUAAAAC